GAUGAACGCUAGCUACAGGCUUAACACAUGCAAGUCGAGGGGCAGCAUUACGGUAGCUUGCUACUGUAGAUGGCGACCGGCGCACGGGUGAGUAACGCGUAUCCAACCUGCCCAUGACUUGGGGAUAACCUUGCGAAAGCAAGCCUAAUACCCGAUACGCUUCAUAGAUGGCAUCUGAAAUGAAGUAAAGGUUUACGGUUAUGGAUGGGGAUGCGUCCGAUUAGCUUGUUGGCGGGGUAACGGCCCACCAAGGCGACGAUGCGUAGGGGUUCUGAGAGGAAGGUCCCCCACACUGGUACUGAGACACGGACCAGACUCCUACGGGAGGCAGCAGUGAGGAAUAUUGGUCAAUGGGCGCAGGCCUGAACCAGCCAAGUCGCGUGAGGGAGGACGGUCCUACGGAUUGUAAACCUCUUUUGUCGGGGAGUAACGUGCGGGACGCGUCCCGUAUUGAGAGUACCCGAAGAAAAAGCAUCGGCUAACUCCGUG
rnacentral:rRNA from 1 species